AAAUAGAUACCCGGGUAGUCCACGCCGUAAACGAUGAAUACUAGGUGUGGGGGUUUCAACACCUCCGUGGCCGCCGCUAACGCAUUAAGUAUUCCGCCUGGGGAGUACGGUCGCAAGAUUAAAACUCAAAGGAAUUGACGGGGACCCGCACAAGUAGCGGAGCAUGUGGUUUAAUUCGAAGCAACGCGAAGAACCUUACCUACACUUGACAUCCCUUGCAUUACUCUUAAUCGAGGAAAUCCCUUCGGGGACAAGGUGACAGGUGGUGCAUGGUUGUCGUCAGCUCGUGUCGUGAGAUGUUGGGUUAAGUCCCGCAACGAGCGCAACCCUUGUCGUUAGUUACUACCAUUAAGUUGAGGACUCUAGCGAGACUGCCUGGGUUAACCAGGAGGAAGGUGGGGAUGACGUCAAAUCAUCAUGCCCCUUAUGUGUAGGGCUACACACGUGCUACAAUGGCUGGUACAGAGAGAUGCAAUACCGCGAGGUGGAGCCAAACUUAAAACCAGUCUCGAGUUCGGAUUGUAGGCUGAAACUCGCCUACAUGAAGCUGGGUAACG
rnacentral:rRNA from 1 species